rnacentral:rRNA from 1 species
UACAGAGGUCCCAAGCGUUGUUCGGAUUCAUUGGGCGUAAAGGGUGCGUAGGUGGCGUGGUAAGUCGGGUGUGAAAUCCCGGGGCUCAACCCCGGGACUGCAUUCGAUACUGCCAUGCUUGGGGACUGGAGAGGAGACUGGAAUUUACGGUGUAGCAGUGAAAUGCGUAGAGAUCGUAAGGAAGACCAGUGGCGAAGGCGGGUCUCUGGACAGUUCCUGACACUGAGGCACGAAGGCCAGGGGAGCAAACAGG